AUUGAACGCUGGCGGCAUGCCUUACACAUGCAAGUCGAACGGCAGCACGGGAGCUUGCUCCUGGUGGCGAGUGGCGAACGGGUGAGUAAUAUAUCGGAACGUACCCUAGAGUGGGGAUAACGCAGCGAAAGUUGCGCUAAUACCGCAUACGAUCUACGGAUGAAAGUGGGGGAUCGCAAGACCUCAUGCUCAUGGAGCGGCCGAUAUCUGAUUAGCUAGUUGGUGGGGUAAAGGCCUACCAAGGCAUCGAUCAGUAGCUGGUCUGAGAGGACGACCAGCCACACUGGAACUGAGACACGGUCCAGACUCCUACGGGAGGCAGCAGUGGGGAAUUUUGGACAAUGGGGGCAACCCUGAUCCAGCAAUGCCGCGUGAGUGAAGAAGGCCUCGG
rnacentral:rRNA from 1 species